CUUUACUGUCGUCGCUGUUCUCUUCUUUCCGUAUAGGAUAUCCGAAACUGGUUCGCGAGUACGAAUGCACCACUGCAAAAGAUCGAUCGAUAAAUCUAAUAUUAAAUCUUCACAUAUCGCUGGAGACAGAUUACAUCAGCGCGGAUGUGAAUUCCAUAGGUUAUAUACGAUUAUAGUACAAGAGUAUUUUCAUUCAUCUAAAUAUUACACAAGGAUUGAUAUGGAGAUUUUAGAAACUUUCGUUUAUAAAGAGAUAUUUGUUAAAUUUUUUUUAAAUAUGUUCAGUGCGAUAGGAUUGAUUCCAAUCUUUGCUUUAACGAAAAA